CUUCAAACAUCAGAGGUUUCCAGUGCUCAGUUUCACAUCAGUCGGACAUAUCCUGUGCCUCCUGAGAAUGCUGCAAGACAAAUACACCCUGAGAUGGUGCAGCAGUGAUUGUCAGGUUUCAGCAGCUGCGCUCCACACACCGGGAGAAAGCCUCGCCAGCCUGGACCUGCAAAGGUGGUCACAGUCUACAGAAAUCCCUUUACUUGUAAAACUGGAUACGAGGAAAGCCCUGAACACCAGCAGUCCUGCCUCCCAAGCUCUGACUCGCGGCAUCACAAGGGCAGGCAGAUAUUGCUGACAAGUAUGAAAGAACAAAAGAGCAAAUGGAAAGCCUUUCAUUGUAAAAGGAGAAGAACUCUAAAUAAAUGAUACUAAAAGAUG